rnacentral:rRNA from 1 species
UACGAAGGGGGCUAGCGUUGCUCGGAAUUACUGGGCGUAAAGGGCGCGUAGGCGGUUUGCUAAGUUGAAUGUGAAAACUCUGGGCUUAACCCAGAGCCUGCAUUCAAUACUGGCAGGCUAGAGUUCUGGAGGGGAUAGCGGAAUUCCUGGUGUAGCGGUGAAAUGCGUAGAUAUCAGGAGGAACACCAGUGGCGAAGGCGACUCGCUGGACAAGUAUUGACGCUGAGGUGCGAAAGCGUGGGGAGCAAACAGG